rnacentral:rRNA from 1 species
GGGUUGUGAGGUUAAGCGACCAAGCGUACACGGUGGAUGCCCUGGCAGUCAGAGGCGAUGAAGGACGUGCUAAUCUGCGAAAAGCGCCGGUAAGGUGAUAUGAACCGUUAUAACCGGCGAUGUCCGAAUGGGGAAACCCAGUGUGACUCGUCACACUAUCAUUAACUGAAUCCAUAGGUUAAUGAGGCGAACCGGGGGAACUGAAACAUCUAAGUACCCCGAGGAAAAGAAAUCAACCGAGAUUCCCCCAGUAGCGGCGAGCGAACGGGGAGGAGCCCAGAGCCUGAAUCAGCAUGUGUGUUAGUGGAAGCGUCUGGAAAGGCGCGCGAUACAGGGUGAGAGCCCCGUACACAAAAGCGCACAUGCUGUGAGCUCGAUGAGUAGGGCGGGACACGUGGUAUCCUGUCUGAAUAUGGGGGGACCAUCCUCCAAGGCUAAAUACUCCUGACUGACCGAUAGUGAACCAGUACCGUGAGGGAAAGGCGAAAAGAACCCCGGCGAGGGGAGUGAAACAGAACCUGAAACCGUGUACGUACAAGCAGUGGGAGCCUCUCUUUAUGGGGGGUGACUGCGUACCUUUUGUAUAAUGGGUCAGCGACUUAUAUUCUGUAGCAAGGUUAACCGCAUAGGGGAGCCGAAGGGAAACCGAGUCUUAACCGGGCGUUAAGUUGCAGGGUAUAGACCCGAAACCCGGUGAUCUAGCCAUGGGCAGGUUGAAGGUUGGGUAACACUAACUGGAGGACCGAACCGACUAAUGUUGAAAAAUUAGCGGAUGACCUGUGGCUGGGGGUGAAAGGCCAAUCAAACCGGGAGAUAGCUGGUUCUCCCCGAAAGCUAUUUAGGUAGCGCCUCGUGAAUUCAUCUCCGGGGGUAGAGCACUGUUUCGGCUAGGGGGCCAUCCCGGCUUACCAACCCGAUGCAAACUGCGAAUACCGGAGAAUGUUAUCACGGGAGACACACGGCGGGUGCUAACGUCCGUCGUGAAGAGGGAAACAACCCAGACCGCCAGCUAAGGUCCCAAAGUCAUGGUUAAGUGGGAAACGAUGUGGGAAGGCCCAGACAGCCAGGAUGUUGGCUUAGAAGCAGCCAUCAUUUAAAGAAAGCGUAAUAGCUCACUGGUCGAGUCGGCCUGCGCGGAAGAUGUAACGGGGCUAAACCAUGCACCGAAGCUGCGGCAGCGACACUUUAGUGUUGUUGGGUAGGGGAGCGUUCUGUAAGCCGUUGAAGGUGUCCUGUGAGGGGUGCUGGAGGUAUCAGAAGUGCGAAUGCUGACAUAAGUAACGAUAAAGCGGGUGAAAAGCCCGCUCGCCGGAAGACCAAGGGUUCCUGUCCAACGUUAAUCGGGGCAGGGUGAGUCGACCCCUAAGGCGAGGCCGAAAGGCGUAGUCGAUGGGAAACGGGUUAAUAUUCCCGUACUUGGUGUUACUGCGAAGGGGGGACGGAGAAGGCUAUGUUGGCCGGGCGACGGUAGUCCCGGUUUAAGCGUGUAGGCUGGUUUUCCAGGCAAAUCCGGAAAAUCAAGGCUGAGGCGUGAUGACGAGGCACCACGGUGCUGAAGCAACAAAUGCCCUGCUUCCAGGAAAAGCCUCUAAGCAUCAGGUAACAUCAAAUCGUACCCCAAACCGACACAGGUGGUCAGGUAGAGAAUACCAAGGCGCUUGAGAGAACUCGGGUGAAGGAACUAGGCAAAAUGGUGCCGUAACUUCGGGAGAAGGCACGCUGACACGUAGGUGAAGUGAUUUACUCAUGGAGCUGAAGUCAGUCGAAGAUACCAGCUGGCUGCAACUGUUUAUUAAAAACACAGCACUGUGCAAACACGAAAGUGGACGUAUACGGUGUGACGCCUGCCCGGUGCCGGAAGGUUAAUUGAUGGGGUCAGCGCAAGCGAAGCUCCUGAUCGAAGCCCCGGUAAACGGCGGCCGUAACUAUAACGGUCCUAAGGUAGCGAAAUUCCUUGUCGGGUAAGUUCCGACCUGCACGAAUGGCGUAAUGAUGGCCAGGCUGUCUCCACCCGAGACUCAGUGAAAUUGAACUCGCUGUGAAGAUGCAGUGUACCCGCGGCAAGACGGAAAGACCCCGUGAACCUUUACUAUAGCUUGACACUGAACAUUGAGCCUUGAUGUGUAGGAUAGGUGGGAGGCUUUGAAGCGUGGACGCCAGUCUGCGUGGAGCCGACCUUGAAAUACCACCCUUUAAUGUUUGAUGUUCUAACGUGGACCCGUAAUCCGGGUUGCGGACAGUGUCUGGUGGGUAGUUUGACUGGGGCGGUCUCCUCCUAAAGAGUAACGGAGGAGCACGAAGGUUGGCUAAUCCUGGUCGGACAUCAGGAGGUUAGUGCAAUGGCAUAAGCCAGCUUGACUGCGAGCGUGACGGCGCGAGCAGGUGCGAAAGCAGGUCAUAGUGAUCCGGUGGUUCUGAAUGGAAGGGCCAUCGCUCAACGGAUAAAAGGUACUCCGGGGAUAACAGGCUGAUACCGCCCAAGAGUUCAUAUCGACGGCGGUGUUUGGCACCUCGAUGUCGGCUCAUCACAUCCUGGGGCUGAAGUAGGUCCCAAGGGUAUGGCUGUUCGCCAUUUAAAGUGGUACGCGAGCUGGGUUUAGAACGUCGUGAGACAGUUCGGUCCCUAUCUGCCGUGGGCGCUGGA